rnacentral:misc_RNA from 1 species
AAGUCGUAACAAGGUUUCCGUAGGUGAACCUGCGGAAGGAUCAUCAAUGAAUUUUCCAAAUAUAUAAAAAUUCGCCUUAGACUUUUUAUGUCUUUUUUGGCUGAAUUAUGUAUUAGUACUUUUCCACUAGAAAUGUACUAUGACACUUUUUUUUAACCAGUUUAAGUGUGUUUGAAAAAUAAAAACUUGGUAUUAAAAAAAAAAAAAACAACAACAACACAAUUCACCAGAAACUGCGGCAAGUCUGGUAAAACUUUAUUUACAAUAAUACAACUUUCGGCAACGGAUCUCUCGGCUCUCC